GCACCUAUAGCUUAAUUGGUUAAAGCAGUCGACUCAUAAUCGAUUGAGUAUAGGUUCAAGUCCUAUUGGGUGCA
rnacentral:tRNA from 1 species